rnacentral:rRNA from 1 species
GACGAACGCUGGCGGCGUGCUUAACACAUGCAAGUCGAACGGAAAGGCCCUGCUUUUGUGGGGUGCUCGAGUGGCGAACGGGUGAGUAACAAGUGAGUAACCUGCCCUUGACUUUGGGAUAACUUCAGGAAACUGGGGCUAAUACCGGAUAGGAGCUCCUGCUGCAUGGUGGGGGUUGGAAAGUUUCGGCGGUUGGGGAUGGACUCGCGGCUUAUCAGCUUGUUGGUGGGGUAGUGGCUUACCAAGGCUUUGACGGGUAGCCGGCCUAAGAGGGUGACCGGCCACAUUGGGACUGAGGUACGGCCCAGACUCCUACGGGAGGCAGCAGUGGGGAAUAUUGCACAAUGGGCGGAAGCCUGAUGCAGCAACGCCGCGUGCGGGAUGACGGCCUUCGGGUUGUAAACCGCUUUCGCCUGUGACGAAGCGUGAGUGACGGUAAUGGGUAAAGAAGCACCGGCUAACUACGUG